rnacentral:rRNA from 1 species
AUUGAACGCUGGCGGCAUGCCUUACACAUGCAAGUCGAACGGCAGCGCGGGGCAACCUGGCGGCGAGUGGCGAACGGGUGAGUAACAUAUCGGAACAUACCCUAGAGUGGGGGAUAACGUAGCGAAAGUUACGCUAAUACCGCAUACGCACUAAGGUGGAAAGUGGGGGAUUCGCAAGAACCUCAUGCUCAUGGAGUGGCCGAUAUCUGAUUAGCUAGUUGGUGAGGUAAAGGCUCACCAAGGCGACGAUCAGUAGCUGGUUUGAGAGAACGACCAGCCACACUGGAACUGAGACACGGUCCAGACUCCUACGGAGGCAGCAGUGGGGAAUUUGGACAAUGGGGGCAACCCUGAUCCAGCAAUGCCGCGUGAGUGAAGAAGGCC